AGCAAAGGCCAUUCCCCCGAACCACCUUGAACAGAUCCGCUCUCAUGUUGAUUCAGAAGCUAAGCCGGGUCGAGCUUGGCUCCUAGUUAGAUGGGAGACCACCUGGGAAUACCAGGGACCUUCAUGU
rnacentral:rRNA from 1 species